rnacentral:rRNA from 1 species
GAUGAACGCUGGCGGCGUGCCUAAUACAUGCAAGUCGAGCGAACGGACGAGAAGCUUGCUUCUCUGAUGUUAGCGGCGGACGGGUGAGUAACACGUGGAUAACCUACCUAUAAGACUGGGAUAACUUCGGGAAACCGGAGCUAAUACCGGAUAAUAUUUUGAACCGCAUGGUUCAAAAGUGAAAGACGGUCUUGCUGUCACUUAUAGAUGGAUCCGCGCUGCAUUAGCUAGUUGGUAAGGUAACGGCUUACCAAGGCAAGGAUGCAUAGCCGACCUGAGAGGGUGAUAGGCCACACUGGAACUGAGACACGGUCCAGACUCCUACGGGAGGCAGCAGUAGGGAAUCUUCCGCAAUGGGCGAAAGCCUGACGGAGCAACGCCGCGUGAGUGAUGAAGGUCUUCGGAUCGUAAAACUCUGUUAUUAGGGAAGAACAUAUGUGUAAGUAACUGUGCACAUCUUGACGGUACCUAAUCAGAAAGCCACGGCUAACUACGUG